rnacentral:rRNA from 1 species
UACGUAGGGGGCCAGCGUUGUCCGGAAUCAUUGGGCGUAAAGCGCGCGUAGGCGGCCAGAUAAGUCCGGUGUGAAAGUCAAAGGCUCAACCUUUGAAUGCCGCUGGAAACUGCCUGGCUUGAGUCCGGAAGGGGCGAGUGGAAUUCCUGGUGUAGCGGUGAAAUGCGCAGAUAUCAGGAGGAACACCGGUGGCGAAGGCGGGUCUCUGGGCCGAAAUUGACGCUGAGGAGCGAAAGCGUGGGGAGCAAACAGG